AACGAACGCUGGCGGCAUGCCUAACACAUGCAAGUCGAACGAGACCUUCGGGUCUAGUGGCGCACGGGUGCGUAACACGUGGGAAUUUGCCUCGGGGUAUGGAAUAACUCAGGGAAACUUGAGCUAAUACCAUAUAAUGUCUUCGGACCAAAGAUUUAUCGCCCUGAGAUAAGCCCGCGUAGGAUUAGCUAGUUGGUGAGGUAAAGGCUCACCAAGGCGACGAUCCUUAGCUGGUCUGAGAGGAUGAUCAGCCACACUGGGACUGAGACACGGCCCAGACUCCUACGGGAGGCAGCAGUGGGAAUAUUGGACAAUGGGCGAAAGCCUGAUCCAGCAAUGCCGCGUGAGUGAUGAAGGCCUUCGGUUGU
rnacentral:rRNA from 1 species